CUCCUACGGGACGCAGCAGUAGGGAAUAUUGCUCAAUGGGGGAAACCCUGAAGCAGCAACGCCGCGUGGAGGAUGAAGGUUUUCGGAUUGUAAACUCCUUUUGUUAGAGAAGAUAAUGACGGUAUCUAACGAAUAAGCACCGGCUAACUCCGUGCCAGCAGCCGCGGUAAUACGGAGGGUGCAAGCGUUACUCGCAAUCACUCGGCGUCAAGAGCGCGUAGGCGGGAUAGCAAGUCAGAUGUGAAAUCCUAUGGCUUACCCAUAGAACUCCAUUUGAAACUGUUCUUCUCGAGUAUGG
rnacentral:rRNA from 1 species